rnacentral:tRNA from 1 species
CGCGGGAUGGAGCAGCAUGGUAGCUCGUUGGGCUCAUAACCCGAAGGUCGUCGGUUCAAAUCCGGCUCCCGCAACCA